AGAGUUUGAUCCUGGCUCAGGACGAACGCUGGCGGCGUGCUUAACACAUGCAAGUCGAACGAUGAAGCGGUGCUUGCACCGUGGAUUAGUGGCGAACGGGUGAGUAAUACGUGAGUGACCUACCUUUGACUCUGGGAUAAGCCUGGGAAACUGGGUCUAAUACCGGAUACGACCAAUCUCUGCAUGGGGUGUUGGUGGAAAGCGUUAUGGAGUGGUUUUAGAUGGGCUCACGGCCUAUCAGCUUGUUGGUGAGGUAAUGGCUUACCAAGGCGACGACGGGUAGCCGGCCUGAGAGGGUGACCGGCCACACUGGGACUGAGACACGGCCCAGACUCCUACGGGAGGCAGCAGUGGGGAAUAUUGCACAAUGGGCGCAAGCCUGAUGCAGCGACGCCGCGUGAGGGAUGACGGCCUUCGGGUUGUAAACCUCUGUUAGCAUCGAAGAAGCGAAAGUGACGGUAGGUGCAGAGAAAGCGCCGGCUAACUACGUGCCAGCAGCCGCGGU
rnacentral:rRNA from 1 species